rnacentral:sRNA from 1 species
GGCUUCGAUAACCGGGGCCUGGAGCCCGGCCACCGCUAUGUCCUCUUUGUGCUUGCUGUGCUUCAGAAGAGCGAGCCUACUUUUGCAGCCAGUCCCUUCUCAGACCCCUUCCAGCUGGAUAACCCGGACCCCCAGCCCAUCGUGGAUGGCGAGGAGGGGCUUAUCUGGGUGAUCGGGCCUGUGCUGGCCGUGGUCUUCAUAAUCUGCAUUGUCAUUGCUAUCCUGCUCUACAAGAAGUAAGCCCCAUGUCCUCCCUGACUCGACAGCAGGGAGGGCUUCCUGGAAAAGAAGGGAGGAGUUGUCUCAGAGAAUCAUCACUAAAGGUCUCUGUCGUACACAUGGGGAAACCGAAGUUCAGAGAGGUUAAGCCACUUGAUCAAGGUCACACAGCAUGGGAAUGGCAGAGCUAGGACUCAAAGCAGGCUAGUGGCUUGGCUUCUCCUCUUAACCCCUAUCUUCAACUCAGCAACUAGAUUUGGGGUAGAGGCUGCCUGUGUCCAGUUCAAUGAGGACAGCAAUUGUAGUGGCCCCAUGGGGCACGUCCCAGCUUAGAAAGAGAGGGCUGAGAUAAGCCUCCUUGUGGUGUCAGUAGGCAGGGGAACAAACAGGAAAGAUGAGCGCCAUUUUCCAGAGGAGACCAAAGCUCAGAGAGGUUAAGGAAGCCACUGAGAGUCACAGAACAAGCCCUUUAUGGCCAGCACGCCCUCACCUUUCUUCUUUUUUUCCCCCUUCUCUCUCACCUGUGUCUGCUUUCGGGAACAGCAAGCCCGACAGGUAAGAAUCAGCCCUCCCCGCUGGAGGCUUCAGGCAAGAGGAGGAGGACAGGGAAUGGGUUGAUACUGUGCCCACAGGAGAGGGGAUGCCCGGCUGCCCCCACAGCUUGUACACGUAUCUGUACUUGGUCCUGGAAACCCCAGUCAUACAGGUCCACGGUCCUUUUCCUGCCAUGCAUUCCUGGGGCCUGAAUUGUGUUCACACAUGAACAUGUGCCAGUGCUAACUGGACUGUUCGCUUGCUUCUCCUAAAGUAAACGCAAGGACUCAGAACCCCGCACCAAAUGCCUCCUGAACAAUGCCGACCUCGCCCCUCACCACCCCAAGGACCCUGUGGAAAUGAGACGCAUUAACUUCCAGACUCCAGGCAUGCUUAGCCACCCGCCAAUCCCCAUCGCAGACAUGGCGGAGCACACGGAGCGGCUCAAGGCCAACGACAGCCUCAAGCUCUCCCAGGAGUAUGAGUCCAUUGACCCUGGACAGCAGUUCACGUGGGAACAUUCCAACCUGG